rnacentral:rRNA from 1 species
ACAAAAUGACUCUCGGCAACGGAUAUCUCGGCUCUUGCAUCGAUGAAGAACGUAGCGAAAUGCGAUACUUGGUGUGAAUUGCAGAAUCCCGUGAACCAUCGAGUCUUUGAACGCAAGUUGCGCCUGAAGCCAUUAGGUUGAAGGCACGCCUGCCUGGGUGUCACAC